UACAGAGGUCCCGAGCGUUGUUCGGAUUCACUGGGCGUAAAGGGUGCGUAGGUGGUCUUAGAAAGUUGAUGUGAAAGCUCAGGGCUUAACCCUGAAAUGGCAUUGAAUACUGUCGAGCUGGAGGUUUGGAGGGGGACUGGAAUUCUUGGUGUAGCAGUGAAAUGCGUAGAUAUCAAGAGGAACACCAGUGGCGAAGGCGGCCCACUGGAUCGGUACUGACGCUGAGGUGCGAAAGCGUGGGGAGCAAACAGG
rnacentral:rRNA from 1 species